UACGUAGGGUGCAAGCGCUGUCCGGAAUUAUUGGGCGUAAAGAGCUCGUAGGCGGUCUGUCACGUCGGCUGUGAAAACCCGAGGCUCAACCUCGGGCCUGCAGUCGAUACGGGCAGACUAGAGUUCGGUAGGGGAGACUGGAAUUCCUGGUGUAGCGGUGAAAUGCGUAGAGAUCCGGAGGAACACCAGUGGCGAAGGCGACACGCUGGGCCGUACCUGACACUAAAACGCGACAGCAUGGGGAGCGAACGGG
rnacentral:rRNA from 1 species